ensembl:lncRNA
CAGGGGGUUGGGGUUACGGUACAGGGGUUUAGGGUUAUGGGACAGAGGGUUACGGUUUAGGGUUAUUGGACAGGGGGUUAGGGUUAUGGGACAGGGGUUUAGGGUUAUGGGACAUGAGGUUAGGUUUUAGGGUUAUGGGACAGUGUGUUAGGUUUAUGGGACAGGGGUUUAGGGUUUUGGGUUAUGGGACAGGGUGUUAGGGUUAUGGCACAGGGGUUAGGGUUAUGGGACAGGAGGAUAGGGUUAUGGGACAGGGAUAAGGGUUAUGGGACAGGAGGUUAGGGUUAUGGGACAGGGGGUUAGGGUUAUGGGACAGGGUUU